UAUAUGAUUUUGAAUUUAAUAAAUGAUUUCUAUUUUUUUUCUAACUGAUUUUGUUAUAGAUAAAAUAGAUCCACACAAGACCAACGGACGAAGAUAUGUCUGUGGUUAACUAUGCCGGCAAACAACAUGAUGUCUCCGGAACCUUAAACCCACACAGGGGCAGCAGAAUCCCAAACACGAUACAUGAUACAGGGCACAACGAUUACAACCAGACUUUAGACUAAGCAACUAGAUUCCAAACUACUACUAUCCAUCUCAAGAGUACAGAGAAACCUAAAGAGAAGAGAACCUAUGAAAGUUGCUUGAUGUGAAUGUCCUCGGCCAAACCACCGACAAACCACUUCCUCCUAGAACAACGAGGCUCCACCUCAGAAACCAGUAACACGAGCUUCACAAACCGGCCAGUAAGAAUCACUCAUAGAUUCUGUCACACUCCCGGAUACGACUGAGUCGAAGACGACUAAAGUACGCCUUUUUGUUUUGACUAUUGAACGCCAAUAUAUGAAACCACCACGGACACAGAUCUCCACGAAAUCUGCUCAAACAACUAGGAGCGAAGCCCACCCAAUCCGGAGAACAUCGAACACAGGCCACGAACAGCAGAGAAACGGCUUAGACGGAACCCACAGCGAACUCAUCGAAAUAGACACACUCUGAAACAAAGAGUACCCCACCAGUAGCCUAGGAGAUAUGAACAAUCAAUAAAACUAACCAGAUCUAACAAGAAAUUCGAAGACAAAAGCUUUGGAAACUAAACCACUCUGUAAAUCAACAGAUCCGGAACUUCUAUCAUAAGAAUCCACAACAGAUCUGGAAGUUUCAAUCGAUCUGGGUAAGCCACAUCUCCUUACAAAAUGGAACCACAGUCACAAACCGAGUUACAAUUAAGCAAACAAGAAAGAACAAGAGAGACUUGGACCGGCCCAGGCGCUGAAUGAGCCGCCUCGCCGGUCGACGGAGCUCAGGCACAUAUGAGAAAGCAAUAAGACGCAGACGAUAAGAGCUCAGGCACCGCCUAUUGCGUUGAUAGAUGAUUUCUAUAAUUUCACUUUUCGGGCUCCCAAAAUAAUAAUAAAUUUGGCCGUC
rnacentral:lncRNA from 1 species